rnacentral:rRNA from 1 species
AAGNNGNNGNNNCUUUCUUUUUCGACCAUUAAAUCAUCCAUAAUGUGGGUCAAACCACAUGCGCAAUGUUUUUACAAGGUGUUAUUUAGUUAGCAUCUUUUUAUUUGUAAUAUGGCCUUAAAAAAGCCACAUUACUAAUUUUUUUAUACUAAAUUAACUGAAAAACGAUUGACCAUAAUUUAUGGUUGUUUAAAAAAUAUAUUAACUUAUAUAAAAACAACUUUCAGCAAUGGAUCUCUCGGCUUUCGUAUCGAUGAAGAACGCAGCAAAUCGCGAUAUUUAAUGUGAUCUGCCUAUAGUGAAUCAUCAAAUCUUUGAACGCAUCUUGCACCCUAUGGUAUUCCGUAGGGUACAUCUGUUUCAGUACCAUUCAAACAUCUCCCUCACUCCUUUUUUUUUAUUAAAAAAGAGAAUGAGAUCAGAGAUAAAUUAUAAAUGGUCCUGGGUAAGCUGUGUACUAAGUCUUUUGACUUUUUACCUGACGGAAUUUUAUCACUACCCGCCCUUAUAUCUUUGCGUAUAAGCUCGGUGCUAGGAGUUAAAAGCAUAGUAAAGAACCUAACUUGCCUUUGUCAGCCUCCUUCCUUGUGUUGGAGGACAUGAUGCGACUGUGGGACGCCCGAUUACCCUCGACUUAAAUAUCUGUUAAGGUAAAUUCUUGACUUAUCUUUGCAAAAAGGUAAUGAUAGAAUUGGCUUUAAUGUUUUUACAUCUAGAGUUAUAAAUUCUUUUAAGCUCCUGAUGGGAGAAAAAAGUAUAAAGGAUUCUUCGGAAGACUUUUUACCUAUUUUUCCAUUUUUUUGGCCUGAAAUCNNAUGGGACUACCCGCUGAACUUAAGCAUAUCAAUAANCGGAG